UCGCAAAAGCCUACCAAUCAACAUCCCUAUUCAUAAGUAUUUUCUUUCUUUCAUGUUAUAAUUAAUUUGCUUAUAUAAGCAACCUCAAAGUAUAUAUGCGUUUUUCAUAUAUUUCAUUAAAAAGAAAAACAUAAAUAGCAACUCAUCAAUCACGUAGAAGCCUCUUUCUGGAGGGUCCCUAUGAACAAUCAUUCCACUUGGCUUGAUUAUUUCAUUCCUUUUUUGCUUCUUUCUGAGACUUCAUCUUCCUCUUCCUCAAAUU
rnacentral:lncRNA from 1 species